rnacentral:sRNA from 1 species
ACGGUGUUCACGGUCGGGUUUGGGAU